GUGAGGCAGUGAAGCUUGCUGCCCUGAGGUAGCAGGAGGAAACAAUCACAAGAAAAAAAAAAAAAACAAAAACCAAGCCUAUUCCUCUUAGCCUGAGGGAUUGUGGAGAAAAGGAGGUGAGAGGAAGGAGGCUUGGUAAAGGAGUAGGAGAAUCUUCACUGCUUCAUCCACAUUCUGAUCUGGUCCUUCUACAAGCAACGUUACACACUGCUGUAUAGGUCAAAGCCGUGCAGCAUCAGACUAUGAACAGAAGUGAUGUGUUACUUCAGGUGGAAACAUUUGAGGGCUGAUGCACAAUCUUCUUUCUUCGUUCCUUGGUGAUUCUGAAAGUUGAAAUGGUGUAAGUAUAAAAUGGAAGCAGCAGAUUUUCUGAGUCACCCCAUUGAGGAAAGGCACAGUGAGGGCUACUCCAACUUACAGCGCUUUUUUGAUGAGCAAGAAAGAAACUUUUGUUUUAUUGAACCACUGAGGUUUCGAGGUUUGUUUAUCAUAGUAUA